rnacentral:rRNA from 1 species
AUGCAGUCGAACGGGCACUUCGGUGCUAGUGGCGGACGGGUGAGUAACGCGUGUUUUCAUGCCCCUUUCUUCGGAAUAGCCUCGGGAAACUGGGAGUAGUACCGGAUAAGCCCUACGGGGGAAAGAUUUAUCGGGAAGGGAUUGGCCCGCGUUGGAUUAGGUAGUUGGUGGGGUAAUGGCCUACCAAGCCGACGAUCCAUAGCUGGUUUGAGAGGAUGAUCAGCCACACUGGGACUGAGACACGGCCCAGACUCCUACGGGAGGCAGCAGUGGGGAAUCUUAGACAAUGGGGGAAACCCUGAUCUAGCCAUGCCGCGUGAUCGAUGAAGGCCUUAGGGUUGUAAAGAUCUUUCAGAUGGGAAGAUAAUGACGGUACCAUCAGAAGAAGCCCCGGCUAACUCCGUACCAGCAGCCGCGGUAAUACGGAGGGGGCUAGCGUUAUUCGGAAUUACUGGGCGUAAAGCGCACGUAGGCGGAUCGGAAAGUCAGAGGUGAAAUCCCAGGGCUCAACCUUGGAACUGCCUUUGAAACUCCUGGUCUUGAGGUCGUGAGAGGUGAGUGGAAUUCCGAGUGUAGAGGUGAAAUUCGUAGAUAUUCGGAGGAACACCAGUGGCGAAGGCGGUUCACUGGCACGAUACUGACGCUGAGGUGCG